CUACCGUCACAACGGCUUCCUGACGUGACGCGUUUAACCAACGGAGCA
rfam:Pseudorhodobacter antarcticus strain CGMCC 1.10836 genome assembly, contig: Ga0079835_1009